AUACGGAGGGUGCAAGCGUUAUCCGGAAUCAUUGGGUUUAAAGGGUCCGUAGGCGGACUAUUAAGUCAGAGGUGAAAUCCCACAGCUCAACUGUGGAACUGCCUUUGAUACUGGUAGUCUUGAGUUAUAUGGAAGUAGAUAGAAUGUGUAGUGUAACGGUGAAAUGCAUAGAUACUACACAGAAUACCGAUUGCGAAGGCAGUCUACUACGUAUAUACUGACGCUAAGGGACGAAAGCGUGGGGAGCGAACAGGAUUAGAAACCCGAGUAGUCC
rnacentral:rRNA from 1 species